GUAUAACAUUAAUGGGAGGUUAUUACAUUAUCAGGUUAGCCUUCAUUACGCAAGUCCUGAUAAUGUAAUAAUUCCCCAAUAUUGUAAUAAUUUAACAGCAGACCACCCAUUACUUGGGUUCAAGUGGUGAUACUGUGUAGGCAACUCUAGCUCAAGAGCUGUAGCGCCACCAACAGGUCAAAGUUGAAUCUUUAUUUACUUUUGACCCGUUCAUUCGUUUUUCACAAACGAGGUAUGGGUGGUCUGCUGUUAAAUUAUUAUAAUGAUAAUGAUAUGAUAUAUAUAUAUAUAUAUAUAUAUAUAUAUAUAUAUAUAAUGCCAUGGACCUGGUGUGGACAAUUUUAGUGUUGUAAAACCAAAACCCAGUUGAGAUUGAAGCGUUAACAGUGAGCUGUGGGACCCUUGAAGAACUAGUAGAUGCUUUAACACAUUUUAGAAAGUGCAUUUUUAAAGUCUAUUUUUCCAACACUAUCUCUCAGUGGGGUUUCAUUCCAUUCCAUUGAUAUAUUCUCAAAUUGACUUAAUUGUUGAAUGUUUUCAGUGUUGUUAAUAAUAAGUAGUUUAUAUUCCAGUACCAUUGCACCAUUGUCACAUUCCCCAUCUGCUAAUGGUGUACAACAGAAAGUGCAUGCCUGGUUUAUUAAUAUCUGUGAUUGUACAUAGUGAAAUGGUGUAAAUGUAAAAGUGUACAGUUUAGUACUGAAGUUAAAGAGGAGUGGAAUCUGAAGGCUUUAGAGAAAUAUGAUUCUUUUCCUUUGAGUAAUCUAAAGCAUGGGUAUGGGGAAAUGAUAUGAAGGCAUUUGAUUCAACUGUUCUUAAUGAAUGAUUUAAUAAAAAGACCAUGUGCAAUGUUUUUCUUCUUUCUUUUUUUUUUUAGCUACACUUGUGCUCGUCUUAAAUUAGAUGUGCAUGACUGUUGCUUUUGUACUGGACAGACAGCAGAUUUAUGUCAUUGUGUUUGUUUAGUUGAUUGUGUUUUUAUGAUUAAUGGCUGGCCUUUAAAACUGCUGUAAACUCUGUUGUUAAAGAUUCUUUAUGGAGCUCUCACAGUCGUGAAAAUAAAGACUGCUGUAUUUUCCAAAUGGAAACAGUA